UAUCUCUUUGUUUUUCGAGUGUCUCAAUCAUCCGAAGCUAAAGAGAUAGCUGAGAUGAUUGAAACACUCGAAAAACAAAGAGAUAAGG
rnacentral:miRNA from 1 species